UACGUAGGGACCAAGCGUUGUUCGGAUUUACUGGGCGUAAAGGGCGCGUAGGCGGCAUGACAAGUCACUUGUGAAAUCUCCGGGCUUAACUCGGAACGGCCAAGUGAUACUGUCAAGCUAGAGUGCAGAAAGGGCAAUCGGAAUUCUUGGUGUAGCGGUGAAAUGCGUAGAUAUCAAGAGGAACACCUGAGGCGAAGGCGGGUUGCUAGGCUGAUACUGACGCUGAGGUGCGAAAGCGUGGGGAGCAAACAGG
rnacentral:rRNA from 1 species